GGUUCUAUGGUGUAGUGGCCAUCACUUGAGAUUCUGAUAUGUAGAGCAUAUAAUGGUCAACAUUCUCAGAACCCCAGUUCGAUCCGGGUAGGACCU